UCCCGUCUCAAAAAAAAAAUUAAGUUAUUUGCUAGUGACCCACUGAGCCAUCAAGAAGGGGCAGAGUGAAAAACACCACUUUUGGGUGAAGUGACAACAUGAUGUGUUGUUUUCGUCAAUUGGUGUUGUGACAAGA